UAGGGUCGGGAAGCUCGGCAGAAGAGAGUCAAAAGGCGUGCGGGUGGGAGGGAGGCUCACAGCAGUUCGGCAAAGGACUUCAGCCACGGACUGCAAAAGCGCCGGUGCACAGGGAGGGGAAGGAGAGGAUGCCGGAUGGAGACCGGGUUUAGGAGGAGGCUCAGGACUGGCAUCGGGGACAUGGGAAUCAACUCAUGCCGCAGAAUUUAGGAAUGAGGAGUGGAGAGAGCUGACGCGCAGGGUUUCCCAGCCUUCUGUCCGACGCGGCUUCCAGCUAAUCAGCGUGCGUUUUAUGAGCUUUCCCAGCUCUACUGAACUACGAGAAACAAUAAUGAAGAAAAGGUACAUUUCAUUAUACCUGGAUUAAUUCACCACAACGGUUCAAACAGCUGCCAAGUUUCCCGGGGCGGGGACUUUAAAGGCCACAAGCUUGCACGAACGUAGACUCUGAGAAGAAUUGGGGCCUUGAGUGCAGCGCUUUGUGUGCUCAGAGCAGCGCCGGGACACACAGAGGGGCCAGCCCUGCCUGCCCUGCCUGCCCUGCCUGCCAGGCGGGACUGCAGUGUGCAGGAAAGACCUGACUCGCUGGCUAGGGGAGAAAAGAAUGGAGGUGAACGAGACAGUCACUGAACAGAAUGGAGAGAUAAGCCCCCAGGGGUCAGUGAAUUUUCUCAACUUGGACAGAGGCACAGAAGGGUCAAGUGAUCUCUCCAAUAUCACACAGCAGGCAAGUGGCAAAG